ensembl:lncRNA
GGCAGCUUUGUAACAGUUAGUGUUAAGGGAUUUGGGGCAAAAGGAUUGGGAUUGCUCCACAGAGGCAGAGCUGCAUUCUGUAUUUCAAUUUUUGGUGGGUUUAUUUCUGAUGAAGAGCAAGGGAGUGAUGUAUGUUAUGAGGAGGUGAUCAAUUACCUGGCAUGUCUGGAGCACUGAGGAUUUUAUCACAUCAGGAUGAUGGUGAUUGAUUUUUUUUUUUUUUUCUUUUUUUUCAGGUCUGCAGCAGAACAGCAAUCUGUGGAUGCCUGAUUGCAGCUGACAGCAGGGAUGGACCCCAGAGCGAGCUGCAGCGCCGAGAAACGUGGGAGGUGUCGCACACGGUUUGCUCAUCACCCGUUUGCUGCAGAGGCAGCUCGUUGCUUCUCCCUGCAAUGAAAGAGAAGGACAAGGGCACCUCAGGUAGAGGAUUUGUGUGGCCUUGGUGACCUGGGCAGGAGCAGCGGC